UGUAUAUAUGUGUGCAUGUAUGUAUGUAUGUAUGUAUGUGUGUGUACAUGUGUGAGGGAG
rnacentral:miRNA from 1 species